rnacentral:rRNA from 1 species
AUUGAACGCUGGCGGCAGGCCUAACACAUGCAAGUCGAACGAGUGGCGGACGGGUGAGUAGUGUCUGGGCAACUGCCUGAUGGAGGGGGAAAACGAGUGGAAACGGUAGCUAAAACCGCAUACCAUCAGAUGUGCCCAGAUGGGAUUAGCAUGUGGGUGGGGUAACGGCUCACCAAGGCGUAGAUCCCUAGCUGGCCCGAGAGGGUGACCGGCCACACUGGAACUGAGACACGGCCCAGACUCCUACGGGAGGCAGCAGUGGGGAAUCUUGGGCAAUGGGCGCAAGCCUGAUCGAGCCAGGCCGCGUGUAUGAAGAAGGCCUUCGGGUUGUAAAGUACUGUCGUCGGAGAAGCGGUACCCGCAGAGAAAGCACCGGCUAACUCCGUGCCAGCAGCCGCGGUAAUAC